UCCUUCUCCUGUGCUGGGGCAGAGACCAAGUCUGCUGGAGUCAAUGAAAAGACAUUCAUAGAUCAGGCUCGUCCAGAUUCCUAACAUCUCAUAGAGGACUUUCCUCAAACCUGUGAUUUCCGGAAGCGGAGUCCCUUCUACUCCUGCAGCGCUUUCUGGUUCCUGAAACCAGAUGGUUCUGAUGGUUCUGCACAGGACACCCCAAAACACAGGACCCCCCUCCAGUGCUGGGGCGAGGGCUGGCACGGCCAGGGGUUCCCCUGGGCUCCCAUCAGCACCCAGGCUGUGUGGGGUGCUGGCAUCUUUUGGAAGGAGGUGGGGAAAGUGAGUCAUUUGCAAACUAAGUGAGCAUCCUUAAUUGCAUCCAGCGCAGCUGACCUCGGUGGGCAAUGCAGAGGUGCAGACAAAGAUAGAAUUUAGCCAUUAAAAUGAAGUAAAGGCUGUAGUACUCUCCUAAAGCCUCUGAUUUCUUUUUUUUUUCCUAACAUCCAGCUUUUAGGAUGCUGGAGAAGACAGAGAUCCGCCCUCAAACACCGAUGUGCAUGAAAUGACUUAUUUCCAAUGAGUUCUUUGUGGUGUCUGCCUCUUUUGCAAUUAACCCUUCCAAAACUUGAAUGCCAAGUUAAAAAAAAUAAGGAGAAAUCAGAGCUUGGAUCCUAGAGCUGACCCUAUUUGUGCACACCUUGCUG
rnacentral:lncRNA from 1 species